UCCUUCCCAGGACUGCACCUGGAGAGUUUCCAGUACUUUACCUGUCUUGGCGAUGGGAGGGAGAGUCAAGCAGAGGCAUACCCAUUCCAUUCCUAGCUUGGGCAGUAGCUAGCGAGUGGAAGGCAACCCGCUACAAGU
rfam:Ornithorhynchus anatinus chromosome 2, whole genome shotgun sequence.